rnacentral:rRNA from 1 species
GAUGAACGCUAGCGGCAGGCCUAACACAUGCAAGUCAAGGGGCAUCGCGGUGCAGCAAUGCACUGGCAGCGACCGGCGUACGGGUGCGUAACGCGUAUGCAACCUGCCCCGCACCGGGGGAUAGCCCGCCGAAAGGCGGAUUAAUACCCCAUGGUCCCGGGGGCCCGCAUGGGCAUCCGGGUAAAGCCUUGGCGGUGCGGGAUGGGCAUGCGUGCCAUUAGCUGGCUGGUGGGGUAACGGCCCACCAGGGCAACGAUGGCUAGGGGGUCUGAGAGGAUGGUCCCCCACACUGGUACUGAGACACGGACCAGACUCCUACGGGAGGCAGCAGUGAGGAAUAUUGGUCAAUGGGCGGAAGCCUGAACCAGCCAUGCCGCGUGCGGGAUGAAGGCCCUACGGGUUGUAAACCGCUUUUCCCCGGGAAGAAUAAGCCCCGAUGAGUCGGGGGAUGCCGGUACCGGGGGAAUAAGGAUCGGCUAACUCCGUG